GAUGAACGCUAGCUCCAGGCUUAACACAUGCAAGUCGAGGGGAAACGAUAUUGGAAGCUUGCUUCCGAUAGGCGUCGACCGGCGCACGGGUGAGUAACGCGUAUCCAACCUGCCCACCACUUGGGGAUGACCUUGAGAAAGCAAGACUAAUACUCAAUGAUAUCUCUAGAAGACAUCUGAAGGCGAUUAAAGAUUCAUCGGAGAUGGAUGGGGAUGCGUCUGAUUAGCUUGUUGGCGGGGUAACGGCACACCAAGGCGACGAUCAGUAGGGGGUGUGAGCGGGAGCUGCCCCACAUUGGAACUGAGAAACGGUCCAAACUCCUACGGGAGGCAGAAGUGAGGAAUAUUGGUCAAUAGGCGAGAGACUGAACCAGCCAAGUAGCGUGCAGGAGGCCGGCCCUAUGGGUUGUAAACUGCUUUUAUAAGGGAAUAAAGUGAGUCUCGUGAGACUUUUUGCAUGUACCUUAUGAAUAAGGACCUGCUAAUUCCGUGCCAGCCGUCGCAGUAA
rnacentral:rRNA from 1 species